rnacentral:rRNA from 1 species
UACGAAGGGGGCUAGCGUUGUUCGGAAUUACUGGGCGUAAAGCGUUUGUAGGCGGUUAUUUAAGUCAGUUGUGAAAGCCCAGGGCUCAACCCUGGAAUUGCCAUUGAAACUGGAUAGCUAGAGAGUGUUAGAGGAAAGUGGAAUUCCUAGUGUAGGAGUGAAAUCCGUAGAGAUUAGGAGGAAUAUCGAUGGCGAAGGCAGCUUUCUGGGACAUUUCUGACGCUGAGAAACGAAAGCGUGGGUAGCAAACAGG